UACAGAGGAGCCAAGCGUUGUCCGGAUUGACUGGGCGUAAAGCGCACGCAGGCGGUCGCGCGCGUGGGGUGUGAAAUCUGGCCGCUUAACGGCCAGGCGCCAUCCCAUACGGCGCGACUGGAGUGAUGCAGAGGUCGGUGGAAUUGCCGGUGUAGUGGUGAAAUGCGUAGAGAUCGGCAGGAACACCCAGGGGGAAACCAGCCGACUCGGGCAUCUACUGACGCUGAGGUGCGAGAGCGUGGGGAGCGAACCGG
rnacentral:rRNA from 1 species